ACGCCAGACGUCACUGCCUGGACCGGGAAGGUCAAUCGGGCCUGAGGGGGGGCGCGCACCGAGUUUUCGCCCGGCGUGGCCGGCGCGUGCGCGUGGCUUCCCAGGCGGCCGGGACUCCGACGCUGGUCCGGGAGGCCGGUGUUUCGGCUCAGCCCGGGCGCGGUCAUGCUGUCCCGGCCGGGCGGUAGGUGGCUGCGGCCGCUGUCCGUACUGCCGCUGGGGGCCCGGGACCCGCCGCUGGUGCGGGCCUCAGCGGGCGGCGUUCAGCGCUCUGCCCCGCCGGUGUGGGCGGCGGCGGCGUCCGUCUCUGCGGGCCCAGGCAGCUGGUACGAGGCGCUAGCCGCGUCGGCGCCGGUGCAGGGCACGGAGCAGGUGCUGCUCGGCGUGCACUCCGCCACCGGUCUGCCCUGGUGGGCCUGCAUCGCUCUCACCACGGCGGCCCUCCGCGGCGCCGUCACGCUACCCCUGGCCGCCUACCAACACUACAUCCUGGCCAAGGUGGAAAAUUUACAGCCAGAAAUAAAAAGCAUUGCAAGGCAUCUUAACCAAGAAGUUGCGGUUCGUGCAAAUCAGUUGCGGUGGUCCAAAAGAGUUGCCAGGCUCACUUAUCUAAAGAAUAUGCGGAGGCUUGUUUCAGAACUGUAUGUUCGGGAUAACUGCCACCCGUUCAAAGCCACCGUAUUGGUCUGGAUUCAGUUUCCAAUGUGGAUCUUCAUGUCUGUUGCUCUGCGGAAUUUUAGCACCGGGGCCACACAUUCAGAAGCAGGUUUUUCUGUUCAGGAACAGUUAGCUGCUGAUGGAAUCCUGUGGUUUCCUGAUCUCACUGCAUUGGAUUCUACUUGGAUUCUGCCUAUUUCUGUUGGUAUCAUCAAUUUAUUAAUAGUGGAGAUUUUUGCUCUGCAAAAAAUAGGAAUGUCUCGUUUUCAGACAUAUGUUACGUACUUCGUUCGUGCGGUAUCGUUGUUGAUGAUUCCAGUUGCCGCAACGGUACCUUCGGAAGUGUGAAACUUGAAUUUUCUUUACCUGUAAGGAAGGAGUGGGCAGAGCGAAAGAGACUUAAAUGGCCUUGGAGUGGAGCUCUGGUAACCAGAGUACCUAUGUGCAACACAAACAUGUUCAGUAAAUUCUUGUUGAUGGAAGGCAGGCUUCAUGGAAGGAGGGAUUGAUGGAGAGAGAUAAUUCACUGUGGAAGAAGCUAGCAGCUAGGCUAGAAGCCCAUGUGGUGAGGAACUGAGGCUUCCCACAAACAGCCAUUUGAGUGAGCAAUCUGCAAGUAGCACCUUCAGCCACAGUCGGGUCAUCAGAUGAAACUGAUCAGCCAAUGUCCUAACUACAACCUCAUGAGAGGCUGUGAGCCAGUGCCACCCAGAUGAGUGACUUUUGAACUCCUCACCCACAGAAACUAAGCAAUACAUGAAACUAAGAUAUUGUAGGAGUUAGGAGUUUUAGGAUAAUAUUUAAAAUAAAAAUUGAUAACUAAUUCAACAAUUUGAAGAACUUUUAAGGAAAUGGGGCUCUUUUACAGCCCCCUUUUAAAACCCACUCUCCUCAAUCCCAUUUUCACCACUUUGUUAUGGCCAGGUUAGCUAGUUAUCCAUCAAUUCCUAUUUUUGUUUUAUUUUUCUUUCUUAUAAAGUGAUGGUCAGAAAGCUCUUCUAAUACAGGGAAGACGGUAAAUAUUUUAGACCUUGUGGGCCAUGUGGUCUUUGUCACAACUAUUGAACUCUGCCCUUGUAGCAUGAAUGCAGCUGUAGACAAUACUUAAAUGAACGAGUAGGGCUGUGUUCUAAUAAAAGCUUAUUUAUGGACACUGAAAUUUGAAUUUCACAUAAGUUUCACAUCAUGAAGUAUUAUUCUUCUUUUGAUUUUUUUUCAACCACUUAAAAAUGAAAAAUCAUUCUUAGCUUGUAGGUCACUUAAAUCCAGGCUGUGGGCCAGAUUUGGCCCUUGGGUAUAGUUUGCUGAUUCCUGUAUUAAGUGAAUAGAGUUCUUGAUAUUUAACUGUCACAUGGAUGCCCAAAAUAUUUCAGACAAUAAUCAUGUGACCAAAUUAUGGUUAAGGGGAUGUAGGUGAAAAUGAUAUGUGCCAAUUCUGAGUCAAGCUCCUGAAGAGAAGUGGUGGACUUGCCCACCCCACCCCCAACUUUAUUCGCCUUUCCCACUUCUCAGUGGCUACAGUGAAGAUCAUCUUGGACCAUGAAGAUGACAGCAAUGUCCUUGGGAUGGUGGAACUAACAGAGCUAGAAUUCCUAGCAUUGUCUCUUAAGCAGUCAUACUGUUACAAGGGUGAGAACUCGACUCUAUGUUUUCAGAUCCCUUUCAUACAUCACCAAAUGUGAGCCCUAACUAAUUUAGCUGAUUAGUCUUUGGCUGAAAGCUCUUGAGUAAUGCAGGUUAGUGCGUUGUGCUUUCAAGAAUCACUGCAGACAGUGGCUAACAGCUAUGUGUGGAGUUGCAGAAAAUUCAUUCUUGGUCACCUACCAAGUUAGGGUAUUCUGGACAGAGGGUAGCUCUAACAUUUUUAAAAACCCAGAAUCUCUAAAAAUUGCAGGUAUUUGCCUUUUCUUCUGAUUGCUGAUUCCCUGCAAUUUGGAUUAGAACGAAUGUGCCUUUGUAUUCCAAUUCUCCCACCUCUAUUCUAUUAUGGCCAAGAGUGGAACAUUAUUAAUCGAGAGAAACAUAAACAAUUCACUCCUUAUUAUCUCUGAGGAAGAAUUAGUUCAUAUUGUACUUUGUGGAGCUCAUUUAUAGAAAUGAAUGGGUUUAAAAAUCUGCCCCCUCAAGAUUCCCAUGGUCCUAUGGAUCUUCUCAUUCAUAUCACUGAAAGAAAAUGUCGUCAUAAUAGCUAUACUUAUUUUGUAAAGUUUUUUUAUUUUCCAUAGCAGAACUUGGGGAUCCCAGACUGUGAACCACAGUGAAAACAAAGCCCACAGCCAAAGUCUGCAAAGCACUAUGAGAAUCGUCAGCCAUCACUUGGAAGCACCAGAGCAUCAGGCAUUGUCCAAACGCCAUUGUCGGAGUCCUUGCACCGACGCACAGUGUUUCCCAUUCAUCGCCCCUCCUUUCUCUCCCUGCCAAGAACCCAACUCAGUUUAAGCAGGUGCAGUCUUCCAAGUCUUGGCGGUUAGUGUCCCCAAGAGAUUUCAGGGAGAUGCAGCCUUGGCUGAGGGCCAGAGCCAGAGGCUCCGUGAGGCUCAGUUCCCUCAGGGAAGGGCACAAUGUCUGCGUUUGGGGAACAGCUGGAGCUCCAGAGGGAGAAAAGCAGUUUGGCAAGUGAGGAAAGAAUGUACUUGUCACUUCAAGAGGCAAGAAACUUCAGUUUCUCUCCUGCUUCUGCCAGCAAGUGUUGAUUGGAAAGGAGAGUGGUGGUGAUGGCAGGUGACUUUUGGUUAGGGCUUUAUGGAAUGUUUCAUGUUGAUUUUACCUUUUCAAAGAGCAGAUAAAUGUACAAAUCCCACAGUAUAACUAUUCUGAAUUCUGCUCUUGUUUUUAUUGGAUAAGUGAGUGUUGUUCCUCAGAGUUAUUUUUAAGAAUGCUGCCUCUGGCCCAUUUUGAAACGCUGCUUGCUUUCCUUGUGUGUGAGCUAAAAUUUGUUGUAGGGAAUUUGGAAGAAGGUAGCAGAGGGUAUUAAAUGGAAGGUGAAGGCCUACGGGAGGAAGAACCCUGUUCUGAGAGCACGAGCUGGAUUUACAAUGGGGGAAUCAGAUGGGCCUGUUCAGACAAAACAUGGACUUUUAGCUGACACCAAAGGUGAGGUUAUAAAACGUUUGAUGCAGUCGAGGGGGAAAUAAAGUUUUUAAGAUGUCCUA